GUUUCCAUAUAUUUUUUAAUUUGUUCUUUAAUUGCCUGGUUGACUCAUUGAAUCUUUAGUAGUAUGUUCCUUAGCCUCCAUAUAUUUAUGUUCUUUCCA